CCCAGACUCCUACGGGAGGCAGCAGUGAGGAAUAUUGGUCAAUGGGCGAGAGCCUGAACCAGCCAAGUCGCGUGAGGGACGACGGCCCUACGGGUUGUAAACCUCUUUUGCCGGGGGACAAACGGCGGCACGCGUGCCGUCCUGAGGGUACCCGGAGAAAAAGCAUCGGCUAACUCCGUGCCAGCGGCCGCGGUAAUACGGAGGAUGCGAGCGUUAUCCGGAUUUAUUGGGUUUAAAGGGUGCGUAGGCGGGACGGUAAGUCAGCGGUAAAAAUGCGGAGCUCAACUCCGUCGAGCCGUUGAAACUGCCGUUCUUGAGUGAGCGAGAAGUAUGCGGAAUGCGUGGUGUAGCGGUGAAAUGCAUAGAUAUCACGCAGAACUCCGAUUGCGAAGGCAGCAUACCGGCGCCCAACUGACGCUGAAGCACGAAGGCGUGGGUAUCGAACAGGAUUAGAUACCCCGGUA
rnacentral:rRNA from 1 species